rnacentral:lncRNA from 1 species
AAAUGUGUGCGCUGAGCCGAGGCCUCUAAGCGGUAGGAGAGAAUCUGACCUCCGACAUUCUUUUCAAGACACGCGCCGGUGGACCGGGUCCUGGGAUUGGCUUACUCCCGGGCUGGACCUUGGGGUUCGCAUAUUUGAAAGCGUAAACUUGAGGAAUGACGGCGGGGUGAUGGGUAUUUUAUAGAGUGGGACUCAAUCGUGCUCAGCAACAGAUUUCUCCAAAUUCCCUUUUAAAAAGAGCCUCCCAGAGCUGUCGAAAUCUCCGCGGGGUGAAAGCUAAACUUUUGGAGUCGCUGUGUAGCCGGGUAGAGGACACGGCGGCGCGAGCCGGAAAGAUAAGUGUCCAGGCGAAUGGGAAAGGAAAGAUCUUAAUUUUUGUUCCUACUGUUAGCUGAAUGUCCAUAAAAAUCAAAGGGAAUGCGGGGAAGUUUUUAUUCCAGAGCGUUUCCAUGACACCCGCAGAGAUUUAAAAAAUUACAUUCCUCCCCCUACGCAGGUUUAAUUCGGAAAGAAGAGACUGCAGAGGAGAGGGAAGACCGUGAGUCUGCUUUCACCUAGGUUUAAAGCGAAUCAAAGACGGCUGUAAAAAGGGAAACCGGGACCAAAAACAGAUUUGGAGCCUCGAAACUCUCCAUUGAAGGUUUGGAAGAUACGUUGCUGCAGACUUGAAACCGGCUCCAAAUCCGGCCCAAACAUGGGCUGAAAAUAUGGCGCGCUAAUCUGCUGCUUCCCCUCCUCCUCAAGUUCUUUCUGACUCUUCCCACCUUUCCCAGUUUCCCUUCCAGACGUCUGCGGCUCCCCACUCCACCCCCAGGAUAGCUACUCUACAUCCCGACAAUUCCCAGCUUCUACACCCAGGAGGAGGAAUUCUGGAACCACCCAGAGCGAACUCGUGCCGGGGCGGGGUGGGGACCGGAGGAAGGUCCUGCUCCGAAUUCUCUCCAGAGCAGAAAAGAAUUCUAGAGGCUACAUGUGGGCUGCUUUCCCCCCUUCUUCCUUUUUUCCCUCGCAAACCAACAACCAAAAAGUGUUUGGUGAUGGAAAGAACACCAGUGGAAAACGGCAAAUAACAGUAUUUCCAACUCCG